AGGGGGGGCUCUAAGGUUGAAGGCCUCCAUUACACAUGGGCAGAGGUAAUGCAAGAUACCCAAAGAGAGCUCCCAUGGUACCUCACCACUGACCUAGAGGGAGUACUUCUGGAGGUAUGAGGGUAGUUCAUUCUUCAGAGCCCAUCCUGGUGCUACA
rnacentral:sRNA from 1 species